rnacentral:rRNA from 1 species
ACGCACGCUGGCGGCAUGCCUCACCCCUGCAAGUCGCACGAUGGUCUUCGGAUCAUAGUGGCGCACGGGUGCGUAACGCGUGGGAAUCUGCCCUUGGGUUCGGAAUAACAGUUGGAAACGACUGCUAAUACCGGAUGAUGUCGAUAAGACCAAAGAUUUAUCGCCCGAGGAUGAGCCCGCGUCGGAUUAGCUAGUUGGUGGGGUAAAGGCCUACCAAGGCGACGAUCCGUAGCUGGUCUGAGAGGAUGAUCAGCCACACUGGGACUGAGACACGGCCCAGACUCCUACGGGAGGCAGCAGUGGGGAAUAUUGGACAAUGGGCGCAAGCCUGAUCCAGCAAUGCCGCGUGAGUGAUGAAGGCCUUAGGGUUGUAAAGCUCUUUUACCCGGGAAGAUAAUGACUGUACCGGGAGAAUAAGCCCCGGCUAACUCCGUG